GCGAAGGGCGGGGAUGCUAUACAUGCAAGUCGAGCGGACAGAUGGGAGCUUGCUCCCUGAUGUUAGCGGCGGACGGGUGAGUAACACGUGGGUAACCUGCCUGUAAGACUGGGAUAACUCCGGGAAACCGGGGCUAAUACCGGAUGCUUGAUUGAACCGCAUGGUUCAAUUAUAAAAGGUGGCUUUUAGCUACCACUUACAGAUGGACCCGCGGCGCAUUAGCUAGUUGGUGAGGUAACGGCUCACCAAGGCAACGAUGCGUAGCCGACCUGAGAGGGUGAUCGGCCACACUGGGACUGAGACACGGCCCAGACUCCUACGGGAGGCAGCAGUAGGGAAUCUUCCGCAAUGGACGAAAGUCUGACGGAGCAACGCCGCGUGAGUGAUGAAGGUUUUCGGAUCGUAAAACUCUGUUGUUAGGGAAGAACAAGUACCGUUCGAAUAGGGCGGUACCUUGACGGUACCUAACCAGAAAGCCACGGCUAACUACGUGCCAGCAGCCGCGGUAAUACGUAGGUGGCAAGCGUUGUCCGGAAUUAUUGGGCGUAAAGCGCGCGCAGGCGGUUUCUUAAGUCUGAUGUGAAAGCCCCCGGCUCAACCGGGGAGGGUCAUUGGAAACUGGGGAACUUGAGUGCAGAAGAGGAGAGUGUAAUUCCCUGUGUAUCGCUGAAAUGUUUAGAGU
rnacentral:rRNA from 1 species